GGGUCCGUAGCUCAGUUGGUAGAGCACUCGGCUUUUAACUGAUUGGUCGUGCGUUCGAGUCGCACCGGACCCA
rnacentral:tRNA from 2 species